rnacentral:rRNA from 1 species
UUCCGGUUGAUCCCGCCGGACCUGACUGCUAUCGGAUUGAUACUAAGCCAUGCGAGUCUUUGCAGUAAUGCAAGGCAUACGGCUCAGUAACACGUAGUCAACUUACCCUAUGGACGAGGAUAAUCUCGGGAAACUGAGCAUAAUACUCGAUAGAUCAUAAUGCCUGGAAUGGUUUAUGGUUGAAAUGAUUCGUCGCCAUAGGAUGGGACUGCGGCCUAUCAGCUUGUUGGUGAGGUAAUGGCCCACCAAGGCGAUUACAGGUACGGGCUCUGAGAGGAGAAGCCCGGAGAUGGGUACUGAGACAAGGACCCAGGCCCUAUGGGGCGCAGCAGGCGAGAAAACUUUGCAAUGUGCGAAAGCACGACAAGGUUAAUCCGAGUGAUUUCUGCUAAAGAAAUCUUUUGCAAGUCAUAAAACCACUAGUGAAUAAGGGGUGGGCAAGUUCUGGUGUCAGCCGCCGCGGUAAAACCAGCACCUCAAGUGGUCAGGAGGAUUAUUGGGCCUAAAGCAUCCGUAGCCUGUUCUAUAAGUUUGCGGUUAAAUCUAUACGCUCAACGUAUAGGCUGCCGUAAAUACUGUAGAACUAGGGAGUGGGAGAGGUAGACGGUACUCGGUAGGAAGGGGUAAAAUCCUUUGAUCUAUCGAUGACCACCUGUGGCGAAGGCGGUCUACCAGAACACGUUCGACGGUGAGGGAUGAAAGCUGGGGGAGCAAACCGGAUUAGAUACCCGGGUAGUCCCAGCUGUAAACGAUGCAGACUCGAUGAUGCAAUGGCAUAGAGCUAUUGCAGUAUCGCAGGGAAGCCGUUAAGUCUGCCGCCUGGGAAGUACGUACGCAAGUAUGAAACUUAAAGGAAUUGGCGGGGGAGCACCACAAGGGGUGAAGCCUGCGGUUCAAUUGGAUUCAACGCCGGG